rfam:Dipodomys ordii contig_78948, whole genome shotgun sequence.
UGGGAUAUAGCUCAGUGGCAAAGCGCUUGCCUAGCAAGCGCAACGUCCUGGGUUCGAUCCCCAGUACCAA